CAUGGGAAUGUUUUAAUGGUUAACAGAAAGGUUCUAUGGUUAUGAAGAUGACGAUGAUGAGGACGAAGAUGACGAUGAUGUGGAGUUACCGGAGCCUCUCCCAAGCUCAACUGAAUGUGAAUCUUCCGUCCAUCCAGCACAAGAGCUCGAACUGCUCGAACGCGACGACAAAACAAGAAUGUUCUUAUUCCAGUUGCCGAAAUCUCUUCCUUUGCUAAGAACAUCAACCACUGUAGUUGAAAGGAAUGGAAGGUCCAUAGUGAAGGAGGUGAAAGAAGGAUACAGUCUGAAUGAUUUGCCAGGAGGGUAUAUGGGCAAGAUGCUGGUGUACAAGAGUGGCAAGGUCAAGAUGAAGUUGGGAGAUGCCUUGUUUGAUGUGAACCCGGGUACUGAAUGUGGGAUGACACAACACGCAGUAGCCAUGAACACUAAAAAGAAACAUUGCUGCCAGCUCGGGGACAUCGAGAAACGGCAUCUUGUCGUGACCCCGGAUGUCAACUCUCUGUUGAAUGACAAUAGGAUUUAGUUAUGUCUGUUGAUUGACCAGGCUGUGAGCUACUGCAGUAGCUUGGCAAAUAUGGUGUGCAUAUGGUAAAAGUAUGAGUGUUAACUGCAUGACAUAACCUGAACUUGUAGCUGUAGCUGUAGUAGCACUUGUCCAGCAGUAGUAUAGAUGCUGCUUUCAGCUGAUGAGUGCUCGGAGAGAUGUUGUAUAUUUAUCUCAUUAGAGUAGGAGGUGCAUGAAUCUACGUAUCAUCUGAACCUCAUUUUACUAUUGUACGUGCUUGAGACCAUCAAUUCCGUUUGUGUUUGCA